GUGCGAUUCAUCACCAUCAGCUCGGCCAGUCGGUUCACCGACAGGCCGCCUUCCUUGUUCAGCGCCAUCAGGAGCAUGAACUGCGUCACCCGCACGCCUGAGGGCGCAAGCGCGGCGUCGUAGAUCUGUGUCAUGCGGCGCGCCGCCUUGCGCACGGCGAAGCAGUUGCACGUGUCCAGUCCCGGUUGCGCCAUGACCUGUCCGCUUCCUGUUUCAAGAGUUCCGGCCGUCGCGGCCGGGG
rnacentral:misc_RNA from 1 species